ACACGUGUGCACUGCUUUAUCUGGGGGAUAGCCUUUCGAAAGGAACGACUUAAUACCCCAUAAUAUGUUGAAUGGCAUCAUUCGACAUUGAAAACUCCGGUGGAUAGAGAUGGGCACGCGCAAGAUUAGAUAGUUGGUGAGGUAACGGCUCACCAAGUCUACGAUCUUUAGGGGGCCUGAGAGGGUGAUCCCCCACACUGGUACUGAGACACGGACCAGACUCCUACCGGAGGCAGCAGUGAGGAAUAUUGGACAAUGGGUGAGAGCCUGAUCCAGCCAUCCCGCGUGAAGGACGACUGCCCUAUGGGUUGUAACCUUCUUUUGUAUACGGAUAAACCUACCCUCGUGAGGGUACUGACGGUANUAAUAACGAAUACAGACACCGGCCUAAACUCNCGGUGCCCAGCAGCCAGCAGGAAAUACAGGCACGGGGUAGCAAAGCAGAUAAACCAGGGAAUCAACACGCGGACAAAAACACAGGGGACCCAGAAAAAGACGCGGAAAUCACUAGGANAACAGACCAAGCAGNGAGCGAACAAAGUCAACCCGNCUCAAAAGGAANUAACACUCAACGGGACNCAAACACGACUNGCAACCAAA
rnacentral:rRNA from 1 species